AUUACAAAAAUUAGCAGGGUGUGGUGGUGGGCGCCUGUAGUCCCAGCUACUUGGGAGGCUGAGGCAGGAGAAUCACUUGAACCAGGAAGGGGGAGGUUGCAGUGAGCCGAGAUCUUGCCACUGCACUCCAGCCUGGUGACAGAGUGAGACUCUGUCUGAAGAAAAAAAGGAAGAAGUCCCUUCACUGUGCAGGGGACAGGAGACCAUGGAUUGGACCCCAAAGGGAUUGAACUGCAUCUGUAUGUCUGUCCUUUGAACAGUUUCUGUCCCUGCCCAAAAGGAAACCCAAAUUAUUUCUCGGAUACUGGGGAAAUUGUAGUGAAGGGCUUAAUGUAGUUAAUAAAAGAUAAAAGUCAGUAGAAAACAGGAAUGCCUCAGCCUUCAAAUAGUUGCUUCUUUUCCAUUUCCUUCAUGAAUAGACACCACCAUUUUACCCCCUUGUUAUAAAAUUGUGCAGAGCAAGAAGAUGAUACUUAUUUUUGGAUUUGUAUUUUUGAAACUAGAUUUAUAAACUUUUUUUUUUUUUUAAACUAGGAUACUUGCUUCCUCCUUAGCUAAAAGCACCAGUUCAGAUUUUUCAGGUAAUUUUGUUGUUACUCACUUAAGACUGGAAUUAGAAUGUUUCUGGUAUUGCUCAUUUUUUUCUCCUGGCUGUGAUAGAAUCUCAUCAAAUCUUGACAUCUCUCUUAUGGGAAGAAUAUCACAGGCCGAUAUCGUGGGUGGAGGUGGAGAUGAUAGCAGUUAUUAAAUCAGGAAUCUCUUUUAUAUAUGUCCUUGUUACAUUGAGGGUAAGAGGCAAGAUUAUUGGCAGUGGAAUCCCAUUGCAGGAUUUUGUUUGCUGUGGCAUUGGUUUCAUUAACGCACUUUAAUCUGAAGGAUGAUACUGUAACUUGAUUUAUCUAAUUAGCUUUUAAUUAUCUACCGCUAUUUUAUUUAAUUCUCUCCUAUAGUACUGGGACCACUAUAAACUUCUCAGAUGACUUGUAUUUUUGUAGUGCUACGAAAUUUAUUUACAUACUUAUAAAGAAAACUGUAUAGUCGCUUGAACUCUGAAAAUGUACAUGUAUGGCUGGACGCAGUAGCGGUAGCUCAUGCCCGUUAUCCCAGCACUUUGGGGGGCUGAGGCGGGCGAAUCACUUGAGGUCAGGAGUUCGAGACCAGCCUGGCUAACAUGGCAAAAACUCAUCUCUACUAAAAAUACAAAAAUUAGCUGGGCGUGGUGGUGGAUACCUAUAAUCCCAGCUACUCAGGAGGCUGAGACACAAGAAUCGCUUGAGCCAGGGAGGCGGAGGUUGCAGUGAGCUGAGAUCACACCACCGCACUGGAGCCUGGGCAACACAGCGAAACUCUGUCUCAAAAAAAAAGAAAGACAGAAAAUGUGCAUGUAUAUUUUUGUCCCGCAUUAUGUUUUUUACUUGAUAUAAAUGUAUUUUUACUGUGAUAACCCAAGUGCACUGGGGGGCAGGUGUGCUCUGCGUGGUUCUUCCUCCAGUGGAGAGCUGGUGUGGAGACCUGCAGUGUUUGUGAGGAUGGUGGUUUGGACAUGUCUGCUGCUGGGACCUGGGGCGUGUGACUCGGUCCACAUGAGAGGGACAUCUGGGUGGAGGAGUGAAUUCCUGUGCUCUGAAAUGCCACUUGGGAGCUCUGGACAAUGAAGGACAAUUGACUCAAGGGUGCCUGGCUUCUGCUGCUGCUGGGAAAAAAUUCAGUUUAUAGCAUUCCUGCACCUCCCAAAGUAGAUAAGCUGGAAGUCAUUCAGUUAACAGCUGUCCCUGAGGAGUCAGUUUGUGGGAGGCGUUAUCUAGGAGAAGCUUUAGCCUGCUCUGAGCCAUUAGCAGAUAUUAGUGAAUUGGGGCACUGGAGAAUCCUACGAAUGGGCUAUGUCUCAGAAGAGCUAGGACCUCUUUCCAACUGCUGCAGAUGCCCAUGGGCCCUGGGAGGUGGCUGUGCUCUGGAGAAGCCAGAGCAGCUCAUUUCUUGGCCUGGCCUGGCUGCCUCCAGAAAGAGCAGUCAGGACUUGAGGGAAGUAUCAAAUUCAUUACCCAUAAACUGCAGUUGGAGACUAGCUUUCUGAAAUGGCCAGCCUUUGACCAAUUGUUUCAGAUCAUCUCAUUCCUCAGGCUUUGGCAGGUGUCCUGCCCUCCCUCUUACUCUGGUGUGUUCACCUCGUCAAGAAGGCAGAGUGGAUUCGGAGCAAGUUUGCCCUUUGCCAUAGUGACAGCUGUGGGCCCUGAUUGGUGAGGGCUAUGCAUAAUCCUGUAUGAAGGAGAUACAGGUGUGUGUGCACGUGCCUGUAUGAAGGAGAUACAGGUGUGUGUGCACGUGCCUGUAUGAAGGAGAUACAGGUGUGUGCUUCUCAGUUUUGCUAACAGUGGGAGUUCAAUGGGGCAGAGACGGAGGACUGGCCAUGAUGCUCAGCCACAUACUGUAGAGAGAGGCAAUUUGAUGUUAAAUGACACGCCAUCCUCCCUCUCUGGGUCCCUUCUUCCAGUCUACUUUUUUCUUUUUCUAGAACUACUCAUUAUCCCUCAUGGCUAAAAAAUUAAUUGCCUUAGGUGGAGAACUUAAUUUCUAGUAUCCACACCAAACUCAACUCCGUGGUUUCUCCGUAUCUACUGUGUGAGCUGCUUAACUGACGCCCCCUUCCUCCAAAUGAAGGAUUGCUCAGCAUUUUUGGAUUCUAGAAUUUAUUAUUUCCUGCUUUCUUUCUUUGGGACUUCUGAAUUUCUUUGGUUUUGUUUUUAAGAAGUAACCCAAAAUUUCCUAUAACACUAAAUAAAAUGGUACUACCUUUCAAA